rnacentral:lncRNA from 1 species
CGAGCUUGUCCUCCCCGUGCGAGGUCACACCCCCCACACCCACCUGGAGGAAUCCACGCCCCCCCACCCCGUCGGGGAUUGACAAAGCGCCUUCCUCCGCUGCGAGGUCGCUGCUCUCCAGCCCUCGGUGGUACCGAUGAGAGCGGGCGCGUGGUCGGCUGAGGCGCCGGCUGGCCUGCGCCUGGCAGUGCCCUGGCCACUUAGACCCCGAUUCCGGGCGACUUUCCUUCCCAGAGCGGCAGUAGCUUGAUGUCAGGGUGGGGCCCCUCCCCGGAACCGUUGUAUGUACCCCAGCAAGGACAACCACCUUGCGGGACGGGAUCCCUAGUGCUCAGCUCAGGGAGGGGCCCGAGGGGCUGAAGGGUUUGCUGAGUAUCCCCAUUAAAAGCUUCAAGAUUUGGGGAACCUUAUUCACGCCAUUUAUCCACCUAACAGGUUGCACUGACUGAAAACAGAGCUUAAUCCCCCACCUCCCCCAUCCCAAGAGCUCCUGGUCUAAUGGCAGAGACAGAGGAGACAGGCGUUCAAUACACACAGGGUCAGUUUGGCAGCCCUCUCUGUGUUCAAGAGGAGCAGUGGAUGUUUGGCACAGGCCCUGGGCUGUAUCUGUCCAUCUUCAACAUGACAAGGUCAAACAUGGGCUGUACAAGUCAUCUCAUGUCACCCGCACAGACAGAAAAUGACAGAAAAACAUUUGCUGCAAAUGAAGAAGCUUGCUCAGACAGCCAUUCAUAUCCACAGGAGACAUACCCCUGUGGCCACCUGUUGGGAUUCUGCGUGUCCUUCAAGGCCCAGCUGAAAUGAUACCUCACCAGAAGGCCAUCCCAGGCAGUGGAGUCCAAAUGCCUCUCACCUCUGCAGCCUGGAAUUAUCCAUCAGGGUAUUCUAAUCAGCCGCCACAAAUAUCUCUUAGAUGGCGCUGGACCACAGGAGCCCACGCUUGCUGACCAUUCCCACUGGGCAGCUCUAGCCCCCUCACAUCGCUUGGCCUCAAAUCUUCAUUCAGACAAGCUGUGGGCCGAUUACUGGACCUCUCUGAACCUCAGUGUCCCUAUGUGUAAAAUAAACUGAUGAUGAUACCUACUUUAUGGGACCUGGGAAGGAUGAAAUGAGGUACAAUGUCGCCAGAAAGACAGUAACUAUUAAGCAACUACACAGAGUAGUAGGUUUAUUGCAACC